GCCGAGUGUUGUGGCGGGCGCCUGUGGUCCCAGCUAUUUGGGAGGUGGAGGCAGGAGACUCGCUUGAGCCCAGGAGUUGGAGGUUGCUGUGAGCCGUGAUGCCACGGCAAUCUACCCAGUGCGACAGCUUGAGGCUCUGUCUCAAAAAAAAAAAAAAAAAAAAAAAUUAUAAAAUUGCACAGCAGGUAAAGAGAAAUUACAGAAUUUUUUUUUUUUUUUUUUUUUUGGAGACAGAGCCUCAGGCUGUCCCCCUGGGUAGAGUGCCGUUGGCAUCACGGCUCACAGCAACCUCCAACUCCUGGGCUCAAGCGAGUCUCCUGCCUCAG
rfam:Otolemur garnettii contig117098, whole genome shotgun sequence.